UGAGAAUUCUGUGCCCCCUAGACUAGAUAGACGACACUCAUCUAACAAAGUGGCAAGACCCUGCACUAUCAACAUGUGUUACCACAGCCCUCCGACAGGAAAUCAGGUUUCCAGAUGCUAAUGCUGCUAGUCCAUAAACUCCUGCGGGUUGCAAGAUUCUAACUCCAGGAUUCGCAAGCUCAGCUGUACGUCAGAAUCACUGGGGAGUUAAAGAGAAACCCCAAUAUCCAGGCCAGUAAAUCACAACCAGUCGCCUGCCGAGGUCCUCAGCUGAUUUCAACAUGCAGUCAAGACUGACAGCCAGCGCGCUCACAACUCAUCUCAAAACCUCAUCACCUUCCACAGAGACGCUCACUCCUGCCUUGAUUUCCUAACUUCCAUCAGCUGCCACCGCUCUGGCGGCCCACCUCUCCCCUCACAGGCUGAAUACACUGAUCCACCCAUGCCUCCCUUUUUUUACAAGGGUACUGGAAAAACUGCAGAAAAACGGAAUUAAAAGAGAAAGUUUAUUUUGGCGCAAAGACAGAACAGCAAUCUAGGCAUGUUUUCUUGAUAGUACUACUUUUCCAUGAACUUUUUGAAGACUCCAUCAUAUACUCACUAUCAAGUUGUUCCUGCCAACUUUUCUUCGUUUCCUUGCACCCACUCUGCCUGUGACCUAGAGUCGGGAGCCUCCGUUGCUCCUCAGUUUCCCACCUGGGCCCCCAGCCACAGGAGGCGCUCCUUCCUGCUGACCCUCACCUCACCAAUCCGCACGCCAUCCAGCUGCGCUGCAAACCUGCCUUCAUCACGCGUUUCUCUGCUCUGCAACUUUUAACAGCUUUCCACUGGCUAAGGGUGGAGUCUACAUUCCUUAAUUAACAUUAAUGCUUGACCAAAAAGAUCCUCUAUCCAUUCAGUACAUGUCUGCUGAAUGAACGACUCAGUGAAGUGGAAGGUGCCCUUCCGGAAGGUGCCGGCCUCACCUUCUGGAUCUGGGCCGCCAGUGCCGCCCCAUUGCUGAAGCUGUGUUCUGCUGCGUCUGGUUCUGAGAGGCUGCUUCGAGAACCCACGCUGCUGGAGAAUCACAUCAGUGAAGCCAUAAAGGGGAACGCUGCUCCAGGGCUACCAGUGCGAGACAUCCGGUGACUAGGUCUGCAUCCAGGGUAGGCCCAUGGUGCAGCAGUCUACGUGGGCCACCUGCAUUCCACAGGGGAGUGCCUGCUGAGUCCCAGGCUACCCAUAAAAGAGGGGCUGGGAGCCACUUCUGCCUCGUGGCGGCCAGGCUGGCAGCUCCCGUCUGUGCCCACGGACAUGGCAGCAGCAUCCUUCCUGGGUUCUGCACUGGUGCCUGGACUUUCCUGAAAAGAGCCUGGCUGGCGGCAGAGCACCUUCUUACUGUACAUCACGUUCUCCAAGGACUCGGGCAGCAGACUUUCGCCGUGGCUGAUGGACAUGACAUCCUGAACUUUAGAGAGAAAGUUUUCACAGGUUACAUCAGAGGGGCACAGUCUCACCUGCCCGGCUGUCAUCCUUCUUUUCACCACAAAUGCCAUCGCCUCCAUCACUGGAACUCUCCUAGGGAUAAAUGAGGCAUCCCAUGAGCAAAACUGCAGUCCAGAAGAAAUCACCCCAGAGUUCCUGUGCAGAAGGAAUAAGCACGCACAAGAGACAUUUCCUGUCCACAAACACCUCAAAGACAAGAUGGUGACUGAAAAAUAAAGGUUGCUUAUGCACACCCUUGAAAGAAGCAGGGAGCAGUUUGUUUAAAAUAAGCACUACGUUUUCCCUGGAAUGAUUCUGCCGAAAGAGAAUCAGCUUUAAGGAGUAAUGAACUGGCAUGCUCUCUCCCUGGCAAUCACAUUUUACAAACACCAUUUAAGCUGUGAAUUUAAAUAUUUGCUUUAUCAUCGUCACUUGCGAUUUAAUACUGUCAUUUCACCAAGACUAUACUUGCAUUUUUCUGUUUUGCUAGGAACAAGUGUCAUGCUCACGUUCAUUAUGGUUAGCUUCCUUCACAGCAACAGACACUAUUUUCAUAAAACAUGACUGCUCCAGACAUGAGACCUGAUGGUGCAAAACCCCAGGAAUUUAAAAUUAAAAUCACAACUUGAGGCUUCAAAGCGAAUGUUAUGGGUGUGGAGCGUCUUCAGUUGGUGUCCUGUCAAGCCUGCUGUGAUUUCUUCACAAACCCUGCCUUGGUCUCAGGAACUGGAUUUUAAAAGAUCCACUAUAGGCCGGCGCCGCGGCUCACUAGGCUAAUCCUCCGCCUAGCGGCGCCGGCACACCGGGUUCUAGUCCCGGUCGGGGCGCCGGAUUCUGUCCCGGUUGCCCCUCUUCCAGGCCAGCCCUCUGCUGUGGCCAGGGAGUACAGUGGAGGAUGGCCCAGGUGCUUGGGCCCUGCACCCCAUGGGAGACCAGGAAAAGCACCUGGCUCCUGGCUCCUGCCAUCGGAUCAGCGCGGUGUGCCGGCUGCAGCGCGCCGGCCGCGGCGGCCAUUGGAGGGUGAACCAACGGCAAAAAGGAAGACCUUUCUCUCUGUCUCUCUCUCUCACUGUCCACUCUGCCUGUCAAAAAAAAAAAAAAAAAAAAAAAAAAAAAAAAAAAAAGACUAUAAUGGAUGUGGGAGAGAUUGUGGUAUUUUUCAACCUUUUCAACCGGACUCUAGUC